AUAGUACAAACUGGUUUAACUG
rnacentral:snRNA from 1 species